rnacentral:rRNA from 1 species
CCUAAUACAUGCAAGGUCGAGCGAAUGGAUUAAGAGCUUGCUCUUAUGAAGUUAGCGGCGGACGUGUGUGAGUAACACGUGGGUAACCUGCCCAUAAGACUGGGAUAACUCCGGGAAACCGGGGCUAAUACCGGAUAACAUUUUGAACCGCAUGGUUCGAAAUUGAAAGGCGGCUUCGGCUGUCACUUAUGGAUGGACCCGCGUCGCAUUAGCUAGUUGGUGAGGUAACGGCUCACCAAGGCAACGAUGCGUAGCCGACCUGAGAGGGUGAUCGGCCACACUGGGACUGAGACACGGCCCAGACUCCUACGGGAGGCAGCAGUAGGGAAUCUUCCGCAAUGGACGAAAGUCUGACGGAGCAACGCCGCGUGAGUGAUGAAGGCUUUCGGGUCGUAAAACUCUGUUGUUAGGGAAGAACAAGUGCUAGUUGAAUAAGCUGGCACCUUGACGGUACCUAACCAGAAAGCCACGGCUAACUACGUGCCAGCAGCCGCGGUAAUACGUAGGUGGCAAGCGUUAUCCGGAAUUAUUGGGCGUAAAGCGCGCGCAGGUGGUUUCUUAAGUCUGAUGUGAAAGCCCACGGCUCAACCGUGGAGGGUCAUUGGAAACUGGGAGACUUGAGUGCAGAAGAGGAAAGUGGAAUUCCAUGUGUAGCGGUGAAAUGCGUAGAGAUAUGGAGGAACACCAGUGGCGAAGGCGACUUUCUGGUCUGUAACUGACACUGAGGGCGCGAAAGCGUGGGGAGCAAACAGGAUUAGAUACCCUCGGUAGUCCACGCCG